rnacentral:lncRNA from 1 species
UGUCCAACCGAGUCUCCAUCGAACUGUUGUGGUGUUGCUGAUUUGCCCUAGGUCACCUGAGUUAAAAGGGUUGCAUUCCCUUUCCAGUAUGUUCCAUGGUAAACAUGCAGAGGAAAUGGCCCCACAGCAUUGGAUGAGUGUUUAUGUCGUCCAACCGAGUCUCCAUCGAACUGUUGUGGUGUUGCUGACUUGCCCUAGGUCACCUGAGUUAAAAGGGUUGCAUUCCCUUUCCAGUAUGGUCCAUGGAAAACAUGCAGAGGAAAUGGCCCCACAGCAUUGGCUGAGUGUUUAUGUCGUCCAACCGAGUCUCCAUCGAACUGUUGUGGUGUUGCUGACUUGCCCUAGGUCACCUGAGUUAAAAGGGUUGCAUUCCCUUUCCAGUAUGGUCCAUGGAAAACAUGCAGAGGAAAUGGCCCCACAGCAUUGGCUGAGUGUUUAUGUCGUCCAACCGAGUCU